CCCAGUCUAGUGGAGUACACUGUGCAAGAUCAUAGUAAGACUCCUUGCUAGCAUAUGCUUGUGUUUAAUGCAGCGACCUGCUUCUGCAUGGUGAGUUUACACAUACCCUGCAGUGAAGGUAGUGUGUAUGUGUAUGUGUGUGUGUGUUUGUGUGUGUGUAUGUAAUAGCAGUAAUCAGUGUACCUCAAACAGACAGAGUAUAACUAGGCCUGGUGUGGUGAGAGCUGUAGACCAGCUCUUGGCUGCCGGCCUGCAUUCACAGUUUCUGUCGCUCUGUGUAUGUUUAUGUUUGUACGUGGUUACUCAAGCUGGAGACUCCACCUUUGGAUAGCACCAAGACAGCGGAGGCCCAAAAGGUUAAGGUAACAGGAAGAGGUGUCAGUGUGAGUGUGAUGUUUGUCCCUCACAGGUUGUUGUACUUUUUCACAGCAGCGAGAAUUUCCUCUGGUGGGGUACAGUGUGAUUGUUCAGGUGCAGUUUGUUCUUUUAUACACCUUUGACCUCUUUGUGUGUGUUUUUAGAGCUCACUCUGUGCCUUCAUGUGUGGGUGUGGACCGAGCUGUGCUGUUCAGGUCUCUGUGGAUGGGAUGCUAUCAGUGUUGUCAGCAUGACGGCAGGAGCAGCAUGUCAGGGAGUCAGAGGUGGGCUUGAGACAGGCUGAGACAAAAAUGAGAGAAUACAAUUUAAAAAAAAAGGAUGAUCAUGGCAGUUUCUUGAAGUAUGUGUUAAUCUGUCAUUGAAAAAGAGUAAAAAUGCAUUUUGACUUGCAGCUAUACAUGCUGGAUUGUAGAACAACAGAUUGUCUUUGCCUAAACUUAGUAAUUGAUUGAAUGUGGAUUAAAUAAAUGCCCUGUCUUGACCCUAGUUAUAUACUGAUAUAUCACUAAACUUGCAAAUGGUACCACUUUGCCAAGCUCUCUUUUAGCAGAGAGGUACACCUAAAUAUUGUCAUCUGGUAUUAUACAAAAUUACUGCAGUACCAAUGAAAAACAAGCUUAUGUGUUUGAACUCAAACACAUAGAUGAAUCUCAUGUUUUUAUUGUAAGAAAGCUUAAAAGCUCCCGCUGAUGAAAGUGGCAGUGUCACAGCAGGAUGGACAGAUUUAGACGAGUCUCAAUCAUUAGAUGCAAAAUUGAGGUAAAGUUUCAGGAAAUACACCCAUAAUUGAGUUGAAAGUUACAUCCUCUAUCUCCACUGCAGGACCUCAUCCGUUUUUUUCAUUUGUUGUUUAACUUUCUUGACCUCUGUUCGCCUUAAGUACUUUAAAAGAAGCGAUUUUAGAGUUUCACUUUGUUUUUCAGACUUUUUUAUUAGCUUGCAUGUUGGGUGAGAGAUGUAUGAGUGGCUAAAUAAUUCAAGUUGGGAUCAAAGAGACACCAUUUCGCCAAGCUUUAGGCAAAGAUGGGAAGAUUAGUCACAAAAGAGAAACCAAGAUAACUUCCAAUCAUGGACAAUUUUGUUCUUUAUCGGGUUUGACAGUGUGGAGGCGUGGGAAUGAGACAGGCGAGAGAGCGUGAUACCGUGUUUCAACCUCAUGCUUAUAUGGUUUUUCCACUUUCACACCCUGCUCUAAUUUCACAGUACAAAGUCCUGGCUGCACCUCAGCUCGUUGUCGUCCCUCGAAAAAAAAAAAAAAUCAGUGGACCAAACUGGCCAGUGACUGAGCUUCAGCUCACCAAUAUCAGCGCAACACGCGGUCGCCUGCAUGUGCACGCUUAAUUUGGUUGUUAUUGUCAGUUAUGUCUCCCAAUGGAGCCACAGCGCGUUGGUUCAGGGGCCAGGUUUUAGUUCCACUCACUGGUCUAAACACACACAUGGAGGCUGAUGUGAGGUCCCUCUGGGCCGCCCCCCUCUUUAUGUGUGGAAACCUGAAACUUUUAGCCCAUACUGACGGCUCAGUUCUGUAUUUUUCAUCCCGAUGAUGGAGAUGUAACGGCCGGGGUGAGGAAUUUUUGGCUUGGAUUGUUUGCACAUUGCCUGCAUAUGAUUUUACUUUGUGGGUCAAAACAACAAACACAAUGAAUAAUGCAUACGUUUACCACAAUUACCAUAUUUUUAAAAUUUACACACACUGCAUUUGGAAACAAAGCUUAUAAGUGAGCUUUUACUGUGGUUAUUUUGAUUAAAAAUCAGCAAAGUACAAUAACAAUACUGUAUAAGUAGCUGAUUCAGGACUGUAAACACACAUAAGAACAUUUUAUCCAUGAAUGCUUUUAUCUGUUCCAGUCCUGUUACUUAAACGAUGACCUCUCUGUUCCCUGCCAGUGAACAGCCUAAGGACUAUCUAAUCCUAAAUCCACUGUCAUAUUCACAUCACUGGGCUCAUCCCAGCUCCAUACUCCAUCAAAGGAAACAAACAUUUCAUUAUCAUUCAAAGUCCCUGCAAAAUCACUAACACAAUCCAUCAAAUCUAGACACUUUUUAAAAUAAUUCAUCUUAAGUCCUCUCUUAUGUUAACAUCUCACUUCCUGCAUCUUCAGGCCCUAAUUGGCUGAGUUUGAAGACAUGGUCAGUGGCUACGUGAUCUGAACAUUGUUGCUGAAUAAUGAGUAAGCUUUAAAACAAAUAAUGGCUGAGCUUUACUAUUAAACUCUCACACAGGGGAUUUGUAGAUUAGUGUCGCUGUUUCCAUCUCAUACCCUCGACCCGCUGAUGUGACAUUGCAGACGCCAUUGCCCUGAUCUCUAUGCAGCUUGGAGUCAUAAUAAUGAGCAACAGGAUGAGUGCAACAAGGAACUGUGAGACAAAUCCUGCGUGCAUGUGCUGUAAAGUGUAAACACUCUUAACUGGAUUCACCUGAUUUGUGCCGGUUUAUGCCUCAAUGUGCUGAGCAGGGUUACAGAUGCAGCACCCAGGCUUAUUAUAAGACCUAAUUCAAUUGACCUGGAGAUGUAAACACAUGUGUGUGUGGGGGGAGUGGAUAUAAGGAGGCCAAUUAGGAGGGCUACAACACUGAGCUGCUCUGAUUUGUUGUCCUGGGAGGAAAAUGGCCACAAAGCCUUAAAGGUAACAGUGAGAACCUGAGGUAAUAGCAUGUUUUGUAGUGUGUUGUCAGAGAGGGAUACAAAAAGAGAGGGGGUCAGCACGGGCCCAGCUAGUGUCCCAUGCUUACUUGGGUGUAAUGACCCAUCAAUGGUGACAUCUUGUUUCAUCAACUUCUGCUUCCCUUCACUUGUCUGUCUGUCUAAGCCGACUCUCUCUCUCUUUCCCCUGCUCCUCUCCCCUCCUGCCUCCUGAAAUCCAUCUUCCUUUCUCAUGUUUUCUCAUGUCAGUGUAGCUGUCUGUCUGUCUGUGAACCUCAGAUACAUCACAGAGAAAAAACCCUGAACCAUGUUCACAAGGAUGCUAAGGUUCAAGGUGCGCGUGUUUGUGUGCGUGUGUUCAGUCUGGCCUUUACAGUUGAAACUAUACCACAGAUCGAUGACAAGAACUGCGUGUGUGGAAAGACAUCAUAUCAAAUGUGUCCUUAAAGGGAUAUUCCGGUGUAUAUUUAAGUUAUGGUCAAACACACCAUAACACCGAGUUAGACACCCCCGAGAGAGAAAUGAAUGUUGCCGACUGCUUGCUUCUCUAGUUAUACCAACUUCAGCAACGACCACAUGAUAGCAAUACACAGCAGUCUAUGUCUCCACGCACAAGCCUCAACCAAAAAGUCACUCUAUAGCUACAAAUAAUGCUCAGAACAGCACCUAACUUCAUCAACAGGACAUAUUGGUCCCGGCCAUAGCACUAGCCACCAAACAUCUUUUUAACUUUGCCUAAUUUCUUUAGCAAAGAGACUAAACACAACCCACCCACUCUCUUCCGGCAGACGCUCGUUUGUGGGUGAGCCCUGAUGAUCGCUGAUCACUGAGUGCAGUGGAUCAUUUCCAUGAAGUAAUAAUCAUCAUAAUAAUCAUUUUGCACUGCAGGCGCGAUAGUUUUUCUACCGUAGUGUCUUGGUCUGAUUGCAUUUCCACAAAGUAUUAAUCACAAAUGUUCUUCCUUGAGCUGUGAAACUCCGCUGCACACGGUGAUCGAAAGAUUUUUAAUGAUUUUCAAAAUUUAAAUGACCACAAUCAAACUUUAUGUAUUACAAGCACUUCAUUACAGCUUUCAUUCAGAGAGAUAAGUUUUCAGAAAGAAAUAGAAUUUGGCCGAUAAUGUGUAUGAGACUUUAAUCUACUGGGUGGCUGAUAAAACAACAACUGCUGUUGAGCUACCUGAGGGAUCACUGAUGUUUUACUGCAGUCCUGCACGGAUACCGGCCAGAGUGCUACUGUGCAUGUCUUAGUUUCACCUGCCUGGAUGUUGUUGCCCACAAAGGCAGGGUUUUAGUUUCACAAUGGGUGGACAUGAAAUGAUGUUGUCAGUUUUAUAUACAGUCAAUGAUCAAAACACAAUCUGUGUGACUGACACAGAGAUAGAUCCCACAGAGACUCAACAGACGUGCAUUAAAUUAUGUGAACCCAUAUACCAUAACAGUAUAAACUACAUUCUAAUUCCCUCAGUCAGACGGGCAUGUGUGUGUAUUUUUUCUGUUUGUGUGUGUGUGUACGCACAGAGGCAGGGGGCCCAGCUGACGAGGCCUCUCACUGGGACACUGGCAGGCCUAACCCGCCGCAGGCCGAGCUCUCAGCUCUACCUCUGACAGGCUUCAUACUUAUUGCUCAAUGACAUUCGAUGUUUUCCUUCAGUUUGCUGUAAGAUUGAUUUCCCAGAUAUGUUUGAAAUAUCUCCAGAGCCCUAGAGCGGGGUGAGUGGCACAGUGGCACCGACAGAAAGAGAGAGAGAAAGGGGAGAGGAAGAGAGAGAGGGGGGUGCAGGGGAGGAGAUGGUGUGCACAGAGCAAAGAAAAACAAAAUGAUGAUCAAAUACACUAUGAAAAAUCACUGAUGUACCAUGUUUCACCUGAGGAACACUGUUUGUACUGCCACAGUCAUAUUGCUCUCAGAGUUUCUACUUAAUGAAUCAUGUAAUUACUUCAAAAUGUCAGAAAACAAAAAUGAUCAUGGUAAUUACACUUAUCUUUUAAGGAAACAGAAAUUAUAUACCCAUUCACAUUUGUUUGGUAAAAUGCUCGAUGCCCAUUUAACCUCAGCAAGGUUAAGAAACAUGAGAUACACAGAUGAUUGCCCCUCUAUUGACCUGUUUCCCAGCUUCUCUGAAUGGCUUGUUUCAAUAAGUUAGUGAGACUUGUCCUGAACCUGAUGUCAGACUUUUGUUUUUUAAGCAGAAGAACUUUACUGAUCCCUGAAGGGAAAUUCACAUUUUAGUGUUUGUUGUGAAGAAAAAUCACAGCUACUUUUCCCACCUCAAAGUCAAAGCCUCCAGAAAAUAAUGGGAAAUUCAGUGUGAGCUGGAUUUAAGUAAGCUGUUGCUAAAAUCUGUUCAUCUAGAAGGACCUUCAUGAAGGCUCAGAGUCACAAUCUGGCAGAAACAUUAAAACAGCAGAUAAUAAAACAAGAACUCAUUUACAACAGAGGAGACAGCAUGGACACUUCCACUUAACCUGAGAUGUUUGAUGUUAAAAAAAAAAAAAUCCCAUGGGCCACAAAAGGGCCCAGAACUGACUCCGAAACUGUGCAAAAAGAAACACCCAUUUGCUGUUUUACUUCAUAUCAGCAGUAAAGGAAUGACAUGUUUCAGGCAGAGGCUGGAAAGUGCGGAAAUGAGGGUUUUUUUGAGCUGGAAAUGAUGCAGGGCUACCCUUUGGGUGUCCCAGACUGACACGGUGAACGAUAAUGAUGAGUAAACUAGGUCUCUUCACCUUCUUCUCAAAUAUUUUAAUCAUUCUGAUCACAUGUUGCACUGUUUUCGCUCGUAUUUGUAAAAUCUCUGAGAGCAAUACUCGUGAUUGGUGGUGCAGCUGUAGGCAUCUACAUGGUACCUGUUCCUAAAGAAGUUCAUACAAAAAUGUGCAUGCAGCUGAAGACACACGCCAACCUCUUCUGGAAGAGAAACAAACUAAGCCAAAUCAUCAAACAGAACCUUUUUUUUCCUCAUCUACUGAGUCUUGAUGUGGACAAUGCUGUGUAAGUCUAGGUCUCAGUCCAGUUACUAAACUCUGAUCCCAAACUUGCACUUGAGUAUUUCAAGCUCACUGCCUCAAUUUCAAAGUGCUUCUCAAUGGCAUUCACUGUUGCUAAGUAAUGAGAGUUGUCCCACACAGCAUGUCUUCUUUCCAUAGUGGUGACUUUUAAGUCUGCAUUACAAUAGUUUAUGAGCUUCACAUUUGCGUUGAUUAAAUGUCAUUUUACCAAAAUAAAUAAAUAAAUAAAUGAAUAAGACAGUUGAUGAAAAUUGUGUCAAAGCAUUAGUAGAGCUGGAAAUUGUACCUGGAUAAAAUGAGUAUGGGCAGUGUCUCCCUAUCAUUUUUGUUGACAAAGACCUUACCAGAAGUCCCGCCACUUUUUGAUCCUGAUUGGUUGUUGGUCUAGAAGUGACAUUGAUGGGCACAGUGGUGUGCCAAGAGUGUAACAAUCCAUUUUGGUAUUGCUUGAUAGGCCUUAGCUUUAAAAUGCAGCAUUUUUGCAGUGAUUGGGAGUAUGGCCUUUGUUUAACUUCUGCUAGUUUCCUUUAGAUUCAAUGUGCUCAUAGCUCAGAGGAGAUUAUUUCAAAAGGAGGUUCAGAAUAAAUGGGGGCAUGUCGUAGCUGGACCCAGAAAGGCCUUAAGGUCUUUCUAGCGUGACUCUUGUUGUGGCAUCACUUCACCUCUCUCUCCUGACGUGUUGUCAGAAGAGUGAGGCCUCAUUAUGAAAUUUUCCCCUCUGUGAAAAUGUGUCCCUGGUGCAUAUUACAUUGUGACACGCCUCGUCACUGAGCAUUCGAGCACAUUUACUGCUUUGUUUUCUUGGGAGCAGGGGGAGGGGAGGGGCCCCAUAUCUACUGUUUUAAACUCUUUAAUGCAAUUUAACAAUGCCACAUAUUCUUUUCACGUUUCAUUGGGGUCCUCUACGUGUGAAAUUGCAAAGGCCUGCCUUGCCUGAGCGACACGGUGCAGCGGAGGCAGGGUCACACCGAAGCGCCAGAUGUGGGAGGGAGAGCGAAAUUAAUUGCUACACAAUGUUCAGUGGGUGUGUGUGCACCUUUAGUGAAUUAAGCGCUCUCAGGGUGUGACUGUUUGAAUAACAGGAAUUAGGUAUGAGGCCUCUCACUCACAGCUGAAGCCAACUGCAGGCAUUGGAGCCAAUUAGCUUAUCUGGCCCUGAAUUCACAUGCUUAACUUGUUGUUUGCCAGCGUAGAAAGAAGGAAAACACUUUACCUAACAACUCACUGCAUUCUGUUGUUUUUCUUUCUGUUUUUUAAAGUUCUCACGCCAACAAACAAAGCAUCCAAAUUCCUUUUUUGCUGCUCUUAUAAGGCAAAAAAAUAUAUAUAUCCUAAGAUCAUUCAGUUAUUUUUAGGACAAUAGAGGACCAUCCAUCUAAUUCCAGUGACAUAUUGAGAUGGACAGUUAAAAUGGUGAUGACCUGAAAGCUAUGCAUUAGGUGCAAAUGGCAAACUAAUUAGAGAGAGCGUCACUUUGAUCCCAUUAAUGUGAAUCUUAAUGUGUUCCCUUUAGUCUUGUGGUGCUAUCAGAGGAGCCUUCACAAUGUGGCUGAGAGCAGAGGUAAUGCACUUUAAUGACAGUUAAAUGGCAGAUGUCAGGGACAUAUGGUGCUCUUCUAUGUUCAUUUACAAGCCCAUACCAUCCUUUAGCACAAACGAGGGAUAAGAAGAAAAUCACAUUCAUGAUAAACAUGUAUCGAUGAUACUGCUUUCUUUAUCUGAUGUCCCUUAAUUGUAGAUGUAGAGCGAGUAGUGCUGUCAUACAGUUAAAAAUAUCAAUAUAAUUAACUACAGGCUUUAGGUCUGAUUGCAAGUGAUCGCAUAUAAAUGAGGAAGGUGUUGCACCAUAGGUUAACAUAAUGCUUAAACAUAUUUUCCGUUGGUUGAAAAUUAGAGGUAAAAACCGGGGGUCAGUUGACAUUGUUUUUCAAUCCCAGAUCCUGUUGUCUUCCCUAGGGCAAGAUGCUUGACCCCAAUUUGCACCUCGUGGUGGUUUCAGUAAUGUGUAAAUGGGAUUAUUUAAAAGUGGGAUUAUUCAAAAUUGAUGGUGCUUUCCACAGCAGCCUCUACCAUUAGUGUGUAAACGGGUGAAUGUGACAUGGAAUGAAAAGUGCUUUGAGUGGACAAGAAGACCAGAGAAAUAGAUAUAGAAACAUAGUCUGUUCUCGAUUUACCAAUUAGUCUUUUGGAUCCCUCAAUAAUCUGAACUGAACUGGACUGAGAAAAUGGUCAAUGUUUGAAAGUUAUGAUCCAGUUGACUGAUGUUUGCUGAGUUAUUUCAGUGUCUUCAAUCUUGUGAGACCUAGACAUUGACGUUGUAACUUUAAAACGAGUAACCCUAUCUUACAUCACUGAUCAGGGAGUGUUAGCAUUGGCAAGUAGCAGCACAAGCAGCCUCCAAUAUUAAACACUAUUACAGGCCACAAUGCAGUGGUUAUCAUGACGUCUAUGGUAAUUUUUUGUAACUGAGGCUCACAACCUGACUGAAUGCUUCAGAGUGACAGUUUUGUCACGUGAUUUUUUUUUUCUUUUACAUUUUUAUCCAUCACAUAGGCUGCUGUGUCCUUGGGUUGAUAAAAUAAUACAUAUCAAAGCCAAAAGAUACAAUGGCAUCUUCUUUAAUAUGGUUUCCACAAAGUUGUUGUGGAUGGUCUUUUCUAAAGAGUGUUCAAACAAUCAAACUUCACUUAUUGUUAAAGGAAACUUGGACGGGCUAAAUGGUCAUCCGAUGACAACUGAUGAUGGGUUUCUGGAUUGUAUAACUUAACCCAUCUAUUUGGGGACAGAGAUAUAUCGUCUCUAGAGAAAAUGGUCAUCUUUCUGAGGCUGUCAGUCCAUCCCUUAGCAAGAGAUACUAGACAACCAGCUAAGACUUCUUUUACAAUGUGUUGAAAGAUCUAAAAUCUAAAAGCAGCCUGUUUGCUGCACUUCUAUGUAGAAAUCUGUUUACAGAUUACCAGAGCCAGUUUGUCUUCAGAUUAUGUCCUAAACUUAAAAUAUAUGAAAACUCAAAGCCUGCUGAAAUGUUACUGUUCAGUUGGGCAACAAACAAUAACAAAAAAGGCUCGCUUUAAAUAUAACGACUUCAAGCUCCUUGACGGAACUUUUCAGUCUGUGAUAAUUGUGGUCCUCCCCUGUGGACAAAGCAGUCUUUGCUAAUCUUGCUCUACACAUGCAUAACAAGCAUCUUUUGACAGCCAAAUGUUUCAUUUCUUGUGAACAAGAUGUAAUAACAGGACUAUUUCUGUAGCUGUUGAAGACAUUUACCUCCUUACACUAGUUUGAAGCAUUAGAGUUACUCUAUAUAAAUUGUUUUUCUUGUUACAGAUGAUCUUGUUUGCUUUUGGAUAUCAUAUAAAGGCAUCACCAUGCAUUAUAAGUGUAUUUAACAAAGAGCUUUAAGUUGAAUAUGAGCUGAUGAAUCUGUCUUUAUGUUUGAAAUCUGUUACUUCUUACAUUUUGUGCAGUCUGUUCAGCCUUCUUAGACCAAAGCCCACUGAAAUGCUCAUGAACUUAAAAGAAACCAGAGCAUUUUGACACCACCAAUCUCCUUCCUCAUUCUGUAUUUGCAGAUGUUGGUGAAAAGAGAUUACCAUGAAACUUUAGGUUUAAGGUGUGGCAGUGCUUCAUCAUAUUUCUUCUGAAGUCCACAAUCAGAGUGUCUCAUUCAGAUCCAAACCCACACUGACUGCCAGCAUCAUCUGUAUCAGAGGAACUAGCAGUGGCAUGCCCACCCUGAUCAUGACCCUGCAGUGGUCUCCAGCAUGGAGAGCUUCUUGUAGCCCAGCCCGACACAAUGGAGCACCUCUUCCCUCCACCUGCCCCCUCCUGUCUCUAUAUUUUCCUUGGCGAUAGGAGGGUGGAGGGUUUGGGGUGGAGAGGUGGCGGUGGGGGCACUCUGCUUCCCCUGGGGCUGCCUGCUGGAGCGAGGUGACCCAGCUUGUCGCUCGGUGACCUGUGAGAGGGACAUUAUGAAGUGUGAGUGGCUGUCACCCUAACCGCUUGUGACAGCACGGCUCCCGGCACAGCUGUGCCAGCCUGCCCCAGCCAGAGAUCCAGGGCCUGUGGAGGAAGGGUGGGGGAGGAAGGGGAGGAGAGGGGCUGCUGUGGAGAGGGUGCAGGCUUCAGAGUGGGGUGUCUAUAGUGGUGGAGAGGGAGGGGAAGAGUAGAAGGAGAAAGGAGCUGAGGGUGUUGGGGGUCUUUGCUUGUACUGGUGUAAAGGCUGCACCAUUGAUACUGCUUUAAGGAUGAGCCUGCAGCUCCACAAUGUCAAAGUCAGCCCGGCUUGGCUCUGAGAUACAGGACAUCAAAGGGAUGACUGCAGAGGUGUGCACAGCCAGCUGUUAUCCUUAAAGCCAUAAGGGUGACAUACUGUACAUGUGCUGUAUAUGGCAUCUAUAUGAUGAGCCAAAAAUAACUUUCUAACUUUCUCUGUUUCCCGUCCGACCUAGAACUUUCUCCAUCCAUCAAACACCCCACUCAUUUUGGUUCUAUUCCUGGAGAGGUUUUAGGAAUAUCGAAUUUCUGAGAUUCAUUUAAAGGGUGUUACACAAUGGGCAAUGUAACAGUCUUUGAUCUUUUACACUAUUAUAUCACCCCAAAGCUGGCAGAUAAGGUCAGACAGAUUUCAGGAGGACUUUUUUUUUUCUUGUUACCUUAUUUGUCCCUCAAAACUGUGGGAGAUAUGUCAUUUGUGCUCUUGGUCAACACUAAUGUUCUGCUCAGAUUUUUUUUUGUAAUUUGAUUAUUUUACAGAUCAAGUAUUUCAUCUUAGUCCGUCCCAAUAAUAACAGAUAUUAUUGAUUUUAAGGAUGUGAACACUGAAUGAUAAAAUCACCUAAUGGGGCUAUAACCAUAUCUCACCUUUACUAUGUAACUGUGUGUAUACAUCCCUUAACAGUACACACUCUUCACUGAGACUAUAUUUUCUAGAUCAAAGUACAACACAGCAUUACUGAAUACCAGCUGUUAUCUGUGCUUGCUUAGUAGUAGUAGUAGAGCAUUACUAAAUUAUGUCAGAAGCCAUUUCCAACCAGCAGAACCAGCUCUUGGGAGAAAUACAAAUAUUGUAAUUAAUUUUACUGACUGCUAAUUGUGUCAAGUACAUGGAUUGUACUUGUAAAGGACCUUUUAAGUCUCCUUUUAGACCACUCAAAAUUCUCCCACACUACAUGUCCCAUUCACCCACUCACACACAAACACACUGAGAGCAGAGGAUGCUAGAUAAGGUAUUAGUCCUUCCACACACACUCACACACACUUGUACUUAAAGGAAAGGGCUCGUUGUUUGACAUUUUCCAAGUAGGCCUGGAGUUUCAGCCUUUUUUUGCACUCCUGAAGCUACAGUGUCUGCGACAUGGAAAUGCUAAAAUGGUUUAUAGGAUGCACAGUUUGUUCCUGAUAUAUUUAGACCUGUUUGAGUAGUUUUAAGAUACCAGUCUACAUUAGCUGUUACUGAGAUGACCCCUCAGAUGACCCCAGCCAGCAGCAGGCUGCAAGGAGGCAGCAUAUACAAUUGAUUUAAAUGAACUGAAUUUAAGAAAAAUUACCAAGGACAGAAAAUUAUUACAAGUACAAGAAAUCUGUGUUUAAAAAUCUUUGUUUGGUUUCAGAAAAAAAAGAUUUUUAAAAGAAUACUUCACCACAUGUGAAAUGUUUUGAUGAUGUUUUUCCAUUUAUUGUUUGACAGUUGGGGACUCUGACAGUGAUGGGAGGUUAGGAGGUGUCUCAUCCAAGAGAGGUUUUUUUUGUUUGUUUGUUUUUUUAAAUUCUGAGAAAGUCAGCAAAUGAAUGAGAUCCAUGCUAAAAAUGGUUGAUGUGUGCAGUGUUUCUGUAGCUAAUACUGUAGCACAUGAUGUUCUCAACCAAAGAUUUGUAACCUAAAAAUACUCAGUUGAAAAUUUUAGCCUCUUUGUAGCAUAAAUUACCUUCUUAUUGCUGUCCUGUCAUAACCCCUUUCUUUUUUACAUGUUCAGUGCAGUGUUUGUUUAGAAAUGACUGAACUUAGUAUUAGUUUUAGAAAUAACACUUCAGGGCAAAGAGGAAACAUAACCAACAAAAAUUAAAGAGCUCAGGUAUAAACUAACUUAUUUUCUGGGGUUGUAUUUUGUUGUUCGAGUUCUCUGAAUUCUUGAUUUCACACUGUCUUUUCCAUCCUUUGAUUUCAGUUCCUCUGCUACUUUCCUCUCCCAGUCUGGUUGUAUCCCUACUCUCUCUCUGUAUGUAUCCCUCUGUCACGGCUGACCUGCGUCCUCUCUCUGCAGGGCCUCUCCUGGUAGCGCCCAGCUGGCGCACUGUGACUCGGCUGGGCAGAGGCAGGAGGCAGUGCCAGCUCUACUGGUGCAGAAAGGGGCACACCAGGCAGACAGGCCCAGUGUCAGCAGCAGCAGCAGCAGCAUGCUAUCCCCCGGCUGCCACAUCCACAACACACACAUAUGCCCCGUGUAUAUAUUGUUGUAACCUAACGCAUGCACACACCAGCAUCAGUGGACCAUUGCCAAAUAGGUUUGGUCCGACUGGGACCUAGUUAACUGGGACAAAACAUUUGUUUACACACUAGGCAAACAGGCACACAGACACAUUCACAGAGCAGGAGAGGUGGAGCCAUAUUCACAGAAAGAGAAGUUUACCAGGUCUUUGCUGAUGCUUUCUGACUUUGACUCUGACAAUCCUAGCACAGGGUCUCUUAUUUCCUGGAGGCAGUAUAGAGCAUGUAAUAAAGCACAUAUUGAACAACAUGCAUGUGAAUGUCUUGAAUCCAUCCCUUAGGGUCCACACUUGAAGGUCUAAGUAACUGAGAAGAGGAUUCAUGGGCUUCUUGCCUGAAGUUAUCUGUUCAUGUUUUCUGCAUGGGCCAAUUUUACUUGUCACUUUUCUAUUCUGCUCUAACCUACAAUAACUAAUUACUACUACUAACAUUUUUAUUUGGUUUUCAGUCAAAAUAACAGUACAAACACACAUCUGUGCCGUGCACUGCAUGCAAGAAUAUUCCCUGACACAGAACAGCUGCUCAUAGUGAUGACUGAGUUUUGUGGUUCCCUGACCCCUCGCUGACCUCUUCUCUGAAGUCAAGAUUUCAAUACAAAUAGUUGCAUAUUCAUUCAGUGGUACAUGUGAGCUUUAGUGAUACUGAGAAUUGGGAUUCAUGUGAAGAGCCUUUCAGAGUGUGUGGGUCAGGGUAUUAAGGCUCGUACCACAGCGUGUGUGUGUGUGUGUGUGUGUGUGUGUGUGUGUGUGUGUGUGUGUGUGUGUGUGUGUGUGUGUGUGUGUGUGUGUGUGUGUGUGACUUUGACUUCAAUCAUCUGUAAUUGUUACAGCCAUACUUUAUUUGCCAAAUAUAUCGUCCAAUCAGCACUAUUUUUAUAAAGCUGCUGUAUUAAUUUCUUUAUGGUAUACUUGAGUUUAGGUUGCACUUUACCAAAAGCGCCCAAACUCUUGCUAAAGCACGUUUUAAGUAUCAAUAAUAUGUUUUUUCUUUGAAAAUCAUAGAAAGAAAAAUCUCUUAUGGUACACUGAAUGGGGGUUUUAUGAACUUUUACAAUUAAAUGAAAGUGUGGGGGUAAAAUGUGUUGGUAGAGUACAGCAAUACCAUCCAGAUCAAGGCCUGCUUACAAUCCCAAAAUCACAUAAAACAAACAAACAAACAAACAAUGAAACACUUUUUUGAGCUACACCAAAUCACUGUCUCAGACAAAAAGAAUAGCUUUUUUACCUCUUAUAAAAUAUAGUUUUAAGAAUUGUACAUUUGCAUCACUUUUAUUUUUCCUUCAUUUGUGGUUUUCUAUCUUUCUCUUACAUUUGGCACAAUUCUUGCUCUAUAAAUAAAGUUGUUUUCUCUCAGAGCUACUUUAAAAACUCAAGUAAAUCCCCGCUGACCUGAGAUCAGACCCGCUGUAAUUAAGACCAGCAGGGGAGACAGGGAACAUGUUGCACCUUGACUCACAUGAUUUUAAAACUGGAGACCUCAGGGCGGAUUGAAAUGUCAGGAAAUAUACAAAAUAAUGCAACAAUAUUGUGAUAUAUGUAUGGAGCAUGGAGCUUAACAGCAUUGUAAGUGUGACUCAUUCUAACUCAGACAAUCCUAUAGGGUUGGAUUACCGACAGAAAGAGGCAAAUUCGUUCAGAUUUGCAUACUGUUUGAUCAUCCAAGUCCUGAGUAUUCAACCAAACUUCCUUUUUUGUGUUUGUGCUUCUGUAUCUGUGUGUAUAUGAGCGUGUAUAUAUGAGUGUGUGUGUGUGUGUUCUGACCUCUUUCACACAGAGAGACCCCCAAUUGUGCUCCUGUAGCCAGCCGCGCUCAGUGAAGCAGCGCCUAUAUGCUCACUGGCAUUUCACACACCCAAACGCGUGCAUGUAAACACACAUGAAUGUCAUUUAUCCAGCUGGGGUCCCCAUGCGAUGCUCACACACCCACAGACUCACACUGACUCGGGUUUGAAUAUGGAAAUAAUGGUUGGGGUCUUGUCCCCUAAUGUUCACCUUGUGCGCUACCUCCAUGUGGCAGAAAACCCCAAAGCAAUAUCUCCUCAGUCUAACUCUCCCUCCACUCUGCAGGUCAACCCAUCCUGUGCCAUCCCCGGGAUUCGAGGCGUACUUCCGCCUUAAAAGUUGUACACCACUACCUUUGAUAAUCAAGAUAGAAACUAAUUGAGCUCACCCAUGCAGAAGAUGCUCUCGCCUCUUCGCGUACACACACACACUUUUUAAGGAGACGGGGGCCUAUACUGUUUCAGCUCAUCCAACUGUGAGAUUCUCCUCUCCCCUUUCCAGUCCUGCCAUCAUCUCACUAAUGGUGUUUCUAUCUCCUCUCCAUAGGAGGUAAAUGAAGCUUUUAAGCAGGGUGGAGGGAAGGGGGACCGCUGAAAAGAUUAAUUGACUUUCUGCAGAGCUUCACUUAUCCUCCGCUGGCACCUUUUGACUUGUGAGCAUAUUUGUGUUUGGAUUACAUGAUUAUAUCACCGUUAUGGCAGCAAUUUGUGGGUUUAUUCAAAACUGUGUCAGGAAAUAUCAAACUGUGUGCCAUCAAUCAUUUCAUCUGCAGUGGCUGCUUAGUACAUCCGUGCAAACAGAGCAACUCUUUGUGGGGUUAUUGGUAAAAUAUUGUGCAACAUUAGACCAAAAUUGAAACAAAUGACAUUAUCUCCACUCUUUGUAGGUUUUCAAACAUUUUGUCCAGAAAUACAGUGUUUUCUGGGUUCAGUUCUUACCUGACAGUCUUAAAUAGUUGAUGGUUGAAAACUCUAAAACACAGUUAAUUCUCAACAGAGAAAACACAUCAUUUAAAUCAAUCUGUGCAAAGGAGUCGGGCAAAUUUUACCUGUGGCAAAAACUGUUCAACUGGUUUACGUAGUAAAACAGUUAUUCUUGUCUCAGGCGGUCUAUAGGUGAGAAAUACCGAAAGUUACUCAGUACAUGUGAAAGCAGCCAGAAGAGCUACGGGAUCCCAACACUCUCUGAUAGCCAAAGUGGAUCACAUCGUGACCUGCAAUCCAGAGCUACACAAAUGUUGUAAAUGGCUGUAAUGACAACAGCAAAUACCAAGAGUUGUGAAAUUUGUUUCAUUUCUGCUCAAAGGUGUGUCGACUGAAGGCUCAGAGGAGAAGGAGCGCUGACUGAGGAGGACAGACGUAUCCCGCUCACCUUGUCUAACAUUCGCUAUUGGUGGAAAUGUUCAAUUAAAUGUGAGUUUUGACAAAUAAGCAGUAAGAUUUUUUAAGUAGUAUUUUAUGCCUUUUAGUUGGGAGAUGGGACAGUGGACAGAGCAGGAAAAGAGAGGAGAGGGUGGAAAAGGGCUGGAAAUGAAUGCUUGUUAACGGAUUGAGGGCUGUAGUCCCAGUACAUGGGGUGCGUAAUUUGGUAACACUUUACUUGACACCUAUCUCUGUAAUGCAUCAUAAAUAUAUUUAUAAUGCUUUAUAAUCACGUUAUAGCACUGUAUAACUAUAGUUGUGAACACUCACGAAUGAUCAUAAUGUUUUAUAGCAAUAAUCAUAACACAUUAUAAAGCAUUUUAUCAUGAUUUACAAGGUCAGGUAUUAUAAUGUGUUAUUACUGUUAACAACAGUUGCAUGUUUUGCAAUGUUUUAACUUGACUGUGAAUUGAAAUGUAGCCUGAUUUCACUGCUCACACACUCCUUUAAUCUCGGGGGUGUUAGCAGUUGUCCAAUAUGAAAGUCCAGAGAUGAUUGUACAGACCCACAACCAAACAAUUAAUGCUGCAUACGACAAUACACACAGUAAUUUAUAUAUAAACAGACACCGGCAUAGAGAGAAAAGAUACACAGCACUGACUGUGGUAUUGGACAGACACUCAGAAACACAGAUACAAACAGACACAUGUGUUUUAAGCUGUAUAGAUGAUUAUUUCUUUUAAUCAAUGAAACUGUCUUUUUAAUCAAUGUGUCAUCUUGUAUACAACUUAAUUUGGUAAACAUAAUUAGAAUCACUUCAUAGUGAGAGUAGACCUCAGGAUUAUAAUUGACAUAACCACCUACUCACUAUACAUCAUUACACUAACUGUGACAGGAUUUAAACCCUAAAGUGGUCCGAAGCAUGUUAUUGUUUUCUGCAGCGUACCAGCAAACUUUGAUAGAGGCUUUUUGUGGGUAUUUUUGAAUCCUGUCCCCUGGCAAAGGAAAACAAAUAAAUGACUUAAAUUUCCCAAUCAGGGCGGUAUAUUUCAACUUUCGGGAAAUGCUCUUCAAGAUUAUACUGUCAUACGAAGAUCUCCCAUUUUUCUGUUUCUCAUAUACAGUUUUUUCUUUUUUUGUGUUGGAGACUAAUCCCUCCUCUGUCCCUCAAACUCUGUCCCUCCUUUCUUCUCAGACACAAACACAGAAGAUUGACAGGCAGAGCACACUGAGCUGUUUUCCUCUCAUGUUCACACUGAAGUAAGUUUGACUUUGACUCCAAACACCAGCUCGGUGGUUCAGGAAAGCCAAAUGUGUGAAUGUACACAGAGUUCUCUCCCUACCCCCACCUCUCCGCUGUAAACUCCACCACCCACAGCUGCACACGCUUCUCCUGUCACGGUGAUAAUCUCUUUGUCAGGAGCCGUCUGUUACAGAUUUGUCCGUCUGAUUCGCUGAACGUCCGAGUGGCAGGUCUGGCUGUAGUGCCACAGGGUGUCCGAGGCUCUUUGUGUGUGUGUGUGUGUGUGCCCAUCCAGUGCCAUAGGUGGUGGGAUCUCCGUCCCUGUCACAGUGUGUAAGUCGCUUGUCUUCAGAACUCUGUUUCGAGGAGGGAUGUUGAGCAGAAGAGGGACAGAUACAGAUACAAAUGGAAGAAGUGUUUCUAUUUUACGUUCUGAGGUCGGUUUAAUGUAAUAUAUUUAUCAGAGUUUGACUGAAUCCAGAUUUAUCUUUCCAGGUUUUAGCGCUCCUUGUUUUCCUGGUAUUUAGGUUUUUAUCCCCUAUAGAAUUUUUUUUACAUCUGAAAUGGCC
rnacentral:lncRNA from 1 species